rnacentral:rRNA from 1 species
GACGAAGGGGGCUAGCGUUGUUCGGAAUUACUGGGCGUAAAGCGCGUGUAGGCGGUUGUUCAAGUCAGGUGUGAAAGCCUUGAGCUCAACUCAAGAAAUGCACUUGAUACUGGAUGACUAGAGGACCGGAGAGGAUAGUGGAAUUCCCAGUGUAGUGGUGAAAUACGUAGAGAUUGGGAAGAACACCAGUGGCGAAGGCGGCUAUCUGGACGGUUUCUGACGCUAAGACGCGAAAGCGUGGGGGAGCAAACAGG